AUCCCGCUGUCUUACAGCACUCACAAUGCAUUCGGCAGGACACAGGCAAUGCAGAAGGCUCCUGGGCCUUGUUGUCCCAGCAACGUUGUCCCUGCUUUGGUUGAUGAAGUCCCUCAUGCGCAGGUGGACGCAUGCAGGUGCAGGUCUGCGGGGGCUGCUCUGUGGCUCCCCUGCCUGGCUUGGAGCCCUGACGAUUUGUCCGGUGGGCUGUGGGGGCCACCCGCUGCCACGAGUGCCAGCCAUUCACGCUCUGCCUGCCUGCCUGCUCUGCACGUCACCUGUCACAGACGGCACAGCUCAGACGCUGGCUGGCUGCACUGCUGCAGUCUUCUACUUUAGCCAGGCGUGCUGCUGCUGCUGGUCUUACUGUCUUUUGCAUGUGGGGUACUUCUUGUGGACGC
ensembl:lncRNA